ensembl:lncRNA
CGGUGAUUUGCCUCAGUCCUGUGAAAGCUGACAGAGAAAAUGGCCUUAAAGACGCUUUUGACAACAAAGCCUCCAACACCCUAUUUUCGCCCCGCGCCAAUCCACCUAUGUGUGGUGUUGGUGGUGGAGCAGCCCAGGGUGGUGGCCUGGGAGUUUGACUCAAAUGGUGCGAGACCAGCACAGACAAAAAUGAAUAUUCUGGCCGCACUAACAGAUGGGGAUUCAGUGGCCAAAGUCACUGUAUUCGAGGAGUUUGGAAAAAGAUUUAAGGAUGGUGGGAGUUAUAAUGUAAAGGGGCUGUCCCUGAGAGGGCAGUCCCCCCCAUAUCAAUUAAAUAUAGCUAAGGACACGCUGUUCUUUAGGAGCGCUCCUAUAGCGCUCAGUGCAGCGCUCAAACUUGAAGCAGAGCUUCUAAUACACCCCCCCUCUCCACUGACUCCGCUGAGCACCUGCCGGGAUGCCAGGGGCCUGAUAACCGUGGAGGGCGAGGUGGUCGAGGUAAAUUAAGUUUCAGCCUACGGUGGUUUAAAAAGGAAACAGGUUUAAUAUUAGCUGCAAAUUGGUAUAAAAUGUCAAUUAACUGAAAGAUCCAUUUUGUUCAGCUGUCAGCUUUAAAAGAAAUCACAGGGAGAGACGUCGUUCCAUUGCGCAACGUCACGAUGCAGCAGGGGGAAUCACAAAUGUCGCUGUGUUUCUGGAGGGAGGCGGCCGUAUGGCAGCUGCAGGAGGUACGCUCAGAGGACAUCGUGGGGGCACUCGGGGUGAUGGAGAUUGAGGGAGAUCCGGGGAACCUCAACCUUCUCCUAGAAGAUGGCCGUACCGUCUUAAUUGAGGAGAGAUUGUGGGAGCCAAUCGAACUUGUCAUGAUUGAACCCGUGAUAAAAGUUCAAAUUAAAAUGACAGGAAACAAGGUGCAGGCGAUUGAAGUGGCAAAAAAUUAAAAUUUCUACUGUUAUAAAAUGUGUAGAAGCCAUUCCACUACAUUUGUAUCGUGCAUAAUGAAACUGCCUUUUCUGUUGAUUUGAUUGAUUUGUGAUGAUGUAAUGAUGACGUCAGGGGGCGUCGGCUAUUUGAAUGUCACCUGAGUAAGGCCAGGUGUGUUUUUUCUAUUUCGAGAGCGGAAGGAGAUAUUAUUUUUGACCGCAUUACGCAUUGAAUUCUCCUUUUAUUUUGAUUGUGAUUUAGGUUGUUUUUGCCGAACAAUGAAUAAAGAAUUUUGAAGUGACAAUACGAGCAAAUGCGCGUUGAUUUUACUGACCGCUCCUACAACAAGUCAAAAAUACCUCAUCCGAACGCGAGGAAGGAACGCCAGGCCAGGUGGAAUUGAGCGAAGCUGUCCCGGAGUCACGUCGUCUUGGAUUGAUCUGGACUGCGGCCAGAAUCCGAUCUCACCGGUACCGUGAGUAAACGAGCAUAUGCGCUGUUUUCCGAACCUGGUUACGAUCAAACAUUAAGCCAAAAAUCGCAGAUUAUGACGUUUUUCUGACCGAUUUGGAUCAAUGGAAAAGUGCUCAGGCCGACCCACAUACUCUGGUGGAUGUUGGGGACAGCGUCUCACAAACUGGCUCACGACGCUCCAGAGGUUCCAAUUCUUCAUCUAUGGUUUCAGCACGCAUGAAGAUAGCUGCAGACAAAGCUGCUCUGCAGGCCAGAGCUAAAGCUCUGAAAAGGAAACACGAACUGGAAAAGGAAAAGCUUGAGCUGGG